AUGCUGGCGGCCGGCGCCGACCGCACCUUGCCGCACGGGGCGACGGCGCUGGAGAUGCCUGCACCCUCCGACCGCCCGGCCUUCGUAACCUGCCCGUCCUACGGCAACGUCCCUCCGGCCGCCACCGCGGUCCACCUGCCGCCGGAGAUGCUCAGGGAACCCCGGGCCAGAAGAACCAGGGCGUGCCUCAGCUUCACCGCCGACCCCGAGCCGGAGCACCACGCGCGGCGCCUCGCGUACGCCUACAUCACCCCGCCGGAGGCCCCGUGCCGGGCCGACCCGGGCCCCUUCAUCCGCCGCGUCUUCCGCACCCUCGCCCUCGACCUGCCGCAGAACUUCGAGCUGCUCCCGCCGGCCCGCCGCGCCGACGCGACCGUGCGGUUCCGCACGCUCGACUUCCGGGAGGCGGCGCUGCGGCGGCAGCCGUUCGUGCUGGAAGGCGUCACCGUGAAGCUGCUGCGCGAGCAGGCCCCCGCCGUCCGGCGCGUCUCAAGCGACUACAUCGUCCACGCGGCCCUGCGCGACUACCCCGCCGAGCAGCGCACGCAGAAGGGGAUCGAGAGCAACUGCUUCAGAUUCGGGUUUGUGCUCGAGAUCGACCCGGCCUGCUUCACGGCGCCGGACCUCGCCGCCGUCCGCGUGGUCCUUGAGCUGGAGGACCCUCGUGAGAUCCCCCACGAGGUCCGGAUCGACUACUGCGACGGCCAUGGCUCCGCCAAAGUCGUCCCCGUGGAGAUCGUCAGGGUUUGGCACCGCUCACACUCGUACCACGCCAAUGGACAGUACAUUCCUCUCUUCCAGGCCGCUUGA
rnacentral:rRNA from 1 species